UACGGAGGGUGCAAACGUUGCUCGGAAUUAUUGGGCGUAAAGCGCACGUAGGCGGCCGACUAAGUCGGGUGUGAAAGCCCUGGGCUCAACCCAGGAAGUGCACUCGAAACUGACCGGCUUGAAUAUGGAAGAGGGUCGCGGAAUUCCCGGUGUAGAGGUGAAAUUCGUAGAUAUCGGGAGGAACACCAGUGGCGAAGGCGGCGACCUGGGCCAAUAUUGACGCUGAGGUGCGAAAGCGUGGGGAGCGAACAGG
rnacentral:rRNA from 1 species